rfam:Picea glauca, whole genome shotgun sequence.
ACAUGCCUACAACAUAGUGUUAAUUCACCUGAUCCCAUUAGAGUUUCGAAGUUAAGCGCACUCAGACUAGAGUAGUACUGGGAAGGGUGACUACUUGGGAAGUCCUAGUGUUGGCCCUUG